UAGGGAAUCUUCGGCAAUGGACGGAAGUCUGACCGAGCAACGCCGCGUGAGUGAAGAAGGUUUUCGGAUCGUAAAGCUCUGUUGUAAGAGAAGAACGAGUGUGAGAGUGGAAAGUUCACACUGUGACGGUAUCUUACCAGAAAGGGACGGCUAACUACGUGCCGGCAGCCGCGGUAAUACGUAGGUCCCGAGCGUUGUCCGGAUUUAUUGGGCGUAAAGCGAGCGCAGGCGGUUAGAUAAGUCUGAAGUUAAAGGCUGUGGCUUAACCAUAGUACGCUUUGGAAACUGUUUAACUUGAGUGCAAGAGGGGAGAGUGGAAUUCCAUGUGUAGCGGUGAAAUGCGUAGAUAUAUGGAGGAACACCGGUGGCGAAAGCGGCUCUCUGGCUUGUAACUGACGCUGAGGCUCGAAAGCGUGGGGAGCAAACAGGAUUAGAUACCCCCGUAGUCC
rnacentral:rRNA from 1 species